CGUGGGUGAUCUGCCCUGCACUUCGGGAUAAGCCUGGGAAACUGGGUCUAAUACCGGAUAGGACCUCGGGAUGCAUGUUCCGGGGUGGAAAGGUUUUCCGGUGCAGGAUGGGCCCGCGGCCUAUCAGCUUGUUGGUGGGGUAACGGCCCACCAAGGCGACGACGGGUAGCCGGCCUGAGAGGGCGACCGGCCACACUGGGACUGAGACACGGCCCAGACUCCUACGGGAGGCAGCAGUGGGGAAUAUUGCACAAUGGGCGCAAGCCUGAUGCAGCGACGCCGCGUGAGGGAUGACGGCCUUCGGGUUGUAAACCUCUUUCAGUACCGACGAAGCGCAAGUGACGGUAGGUACAGAAGAAGCACCGGCCAACUACGUGCCAGCAGCCGCGGUAAUACGUAGGGUGCGAGCGUUGUCCGGAAUUACUGGGCGUAAAGAGCUCGUAGGCGGUUUGUCGCGUCGUCUGUGAAAACCCGCAGCUCAACUGCGGGCUUGCAGGCGAUACGGGCA
rnacentral:rRNA from 1 species